rnacentral:rRNA from 1 species
AACGAACGCUGGCGGCAUGCCUAACACAUGCAAGUCGAACGAGACCUUCGGGUCUUGUGGCGCACGGGUUCGUAACGCGUGGGAACCUGCCCUUAGGUUCGGAAUAACUCCCCGAAAGGGGUGCUAAUACCGGAUCAUGUCUUCGGACCAAGGAUUUAUCGCCUUUGGAUGGGCUCGCGUUGGAUUAGCUAGUUGGUAGGGUAAAAGCCUACCAAGGCGACGAUCCAUAGCUGGUCUGAGAGGAUGAUCAGCCACACUGGGACUGAGACACGGCCCAGACUCCUGCGGGAGGCAGCAGUGGGGAAUAUUGGACAAUGGGCGAAAGCCUGAUCCAGCGAUGCCGCGUGAGUGAUGAAGGCCUUAGGGUUGUAAAGCUCUUUUACCCGGGAUGAUAAUGACAGUACCGGGCGAAUAAGCCCCGGCUAACUACGUG